CGGCUCGGCUCGUCGCGGGACCGGACCGGACUCGCCGGGGCUGGAGCGCCGCGUGGUGCCCGCGCCGGCGGGGCGGGGCGGGGCGGGCUGGUCCGCCCUCGCCGCUUCCCUCUUCCCUGCUGUCCUUUCUCGCGCUUCCCCCCGGGGUGCCUCGCACGCACGUGUCGGUGUCGGGGGUGUGCAGGCCUCUGCCCUGCCCUGGCCCUGCCGGCAUGCGCACCUUCCAGCGCCUCCUUACCAGGCCCAGGCCUGGCGUCGAGACCUCGCCGGUGCCCAGGGACCUCGGCGGACACUUCGCCUCGGUUCAGGGGCGCCGCUGACAGCCUGGGGCGAAGCCGCCUGACAUCGGAGCGGAUGGGUGGCCCUGUCUCCUGAGACUUCAGCUCUAGGGUUUCUUGAGAGGCCGUGUCGGUGCCCAACAGCUUGAUUUAAUGCGAGGGCAAUCCUUUCUGGGUUUUAUUUUGUUUUAUUUAUUUAUUUAAAUUGCAAAGGUAAGUCUGGCAUCUCUGCUCUCUCCUCCCCAGAAAAGAGUUGAGACUUCUGUCCACCACUGAACUAAACCAGAAGAGUGCACUUGUAACUUUGGUUACCAUUUUUAAACCUGCGAUGCUUUCUAGUUUGUAAUAUUAGGACUAAGGUGCUGUUUCGCUGGGGAAAUAUCACAUUUGUUGCUGCUUUGCUUGCCACUGCUUUACAACUGUGCACCGAGUAUACGAGGCUAACUGCUGCAGGUGUCUUUCCUGGGUCUCUUAAAGGCAACGGGACUGCUGAGUUGACUUCUGUGUGGCCAACUAGUCGCGUUGUGUUUUAUUGGAGCGUUUUGGUGGGAGCUGGACUAUCUGAACGGGCAAAACUGAUCUGUAGAAGUGCUGCUCAGAGACAGCUUCCAGCAGUUGGUGUAAGUCACUCUGUUUGUAACUCAGAACAGGUUAGGCAAGGUUAAUUAAGGCAAAGCGGGGUUUAAUUUAGCUGGGAGUCGAGCUACGGUGUCUUCUAGCAGUGUUUCUCAAACUGUCAGGCCAGCUUCCUUGGGCAAGCUUUAACAAGCCCAGGGAAAAUGGGAAAACAAUUUUUGCAUAGGAUUUGGCAAAGACAACCCCACAUUCAUUAAUGAUGAUUCCUCAUUUGCCAAGACAAAAAUUGAAAUGCUCUAGCAAGAAAAAGAUUGAGUCUGCCCUACUUUGGCAUCUGAUUCAGUGCCAUUCUACCCAGGGUCUAAUACAUGGUACUCAUUAUUGCAGUCUCUGAGCACCUCCCAAAUAUUUAAAAAGAAAUAACCAUCUCAUUCUGCACACACAAGUCUCAUUAACUUGGGUGGGUGUUGUGAAUGUUUAAGUACUGCAAGGCUGAACAGUGUGGAAAUAUACUUGCAAAAUGCAGUGCGAUCUUGAGUGGCUCAGCUGGUAUAAAUCAGUUGCCUUCUGUUAAGUUGAGUGGAGCUAUACUGAUUUGCAUCAGCUGGGGCAUGCCCCAAAGGUGGGCCUGCUCCUGCCAUCCCUCUAUAUCCAAAUUACCAGCUGACCCCAGCAGGAAUAUUGACUGGACAAAGGGGUUGGGACCUGUUUUCGUGAGAGUGCUUCCUCUUUACUCCAAUUAAACAAUAUUAAGAUUCAGGACCAUGUAAAUAGUGUUUUGUUUUGUUUUUUUACCUUCUAUGCAUGAGUGCAGAAUGCUCUGAGAGAGGUUGAAAAGAACCCGCCUGAUGGAAAAGACUGCGUUCUUGUGUAAAAGUCUUGGCGACAAUAAUGGAGCGAACUGGGUGACACAAAGCAAGAGGAAGCUGUUCUGUAUUGUAAAACUAAAGGCGGGACAAACCUCUCCUGGUGACUUCUGUGACCCCGUGUUGCACUACAACCCUUCAGGUGGAAUGAAGGAGGGCCACUGGAUUACUGGAAUGCUACUUCCCCAUGUCAUUUAUAAGGUAGAGAAACAUCUUGGGGCUAACCUUUGUUUUUCUUUUCUCAGACUGAUUGAACCCCUGAUGACAGGCUUGUCAUUUUCAUAAGCUGGCAACAAGCCACUUGGAGAAACAAACAGAAAAGCCUUAGCUAUGCCAUGAAAACUUCCUGGCAAGCAGCCCUUCCUUGUGAGAGACAGUCUGAGCAAAGUGAAAAACCCAAGGGGAAAUGAACGCUACUACUUUCUGCCAAAACAAGUCAAAUGUUGCCCCUCUGCUGUAUAGUUUUCACCAGUAAUAUCAAAUAUUUGGGAUGGAAGGGCAGAACUGAAUCAAACCAUGUAACCAAAAUCUUGGCUGUUUGUAUGACAACAUCUGAUGACCAUUUCUCUGUUAAAAUGAACAAGGGAGAUUCUUAAAGGUUAUGGAUGGGGGUACAAGCACUAACGGAUUAAGUCUUUCAGUUAUCCUGGGCUCAAACUAAAGAUGCAUUUCUGUUGAAGAACGGAACGGAAAAAACAUUCCUCGUCCUCCUCCUUUCUUUGUAUGCUGCUUCCAUGAUUGGAAUCUAACGUUUUCCAUAUACACAAUAAUGCAUUGGCCGUGGUAGCCAAGUGAUCAAGAGAUCCAGCUGGAAACUCGACAAAGCACUUAGAGCAAAUCCAAAUCCAAGUAAUGUUUGAAAAAGCAAUCUGCUCUCCCUAGCACUUUCAACUGCUGAAUGCCCCUCGGUGUUCAUGGGGUGAUCCAGGAGUUGGUGUAGUCUUGCUGUUACUUAAUAUGUCACUGAAUACAAGACAUCCUGGAAAGCAUCAUACUUAGGUUUUUGGCUAAGACAUAGUCACACCUCUUCAAAUCCAUUGAAGUAGUAGUGUGAAAGCCAUUUCGUUGUUGUUAGAGCUAAUAAAAAUCAUUUUACUUCAAAGAAUCUACAAUCACAAUUUUCAAAGGAGCCUGGGCUUGGCUUCUAAGUUCACAGCUGUAGUUCUGUUCACACAGUAAUUUGCAGCCAGCGAUAACAAGCCUUCAUCAUUUAACCACCCAUUGGUGUCAGGAAUUGGUAGGUCCAAUCCUGUUUGGCUUUCUUCAUCAAUUGCCAGGGGAGCAGGAUAUAACUUACUUCUGGAAAUCAAAUACAGGAGGUAGUACUCAUGCUCAGAUACCCACCUGGUGUAAAUUGGCAUACCACUUAGAGUUUGCUAUAGCUGAGUCGAUUGACCUCAGUUGAGGAUCUGCCCUAGCACUCUUUCUUGCUGCAAAUGAUUGUAUCUUCUUCCCUGUUGCAGCUCUGAAAUCCCUCUUGAGGGCUUCACUUGCAUCCUUAAUCCAUCACAAUGGCCAAGAAGGAAGAGGAGCAUGUAUGAGGAGGGGCUGCUAACCUUCAGUGCAAAAAGUGGGUAGUAGGGAAAAGAGAAUUUAUCGCUACUGAUGCCACUGGAAAAGGACCUGGAAAAGGCUUUGAAAACCUACUUCGUAAAGCACAAGAGACAGAAAUAAAAAAUCACCCAGUGAAUGGAAAA